rnacentral:rRNA from 1 species
UGGGGAAUUUUGGACAAUGGGGGCAACCCUGAUCCAGCAAUGCCGCGUGUGUGAAGAAGGCCUUCGGGUUGUAAAGCACUUUUGGCGGGAACGAAACGGCGCUAGCUAAUACCUGGCGCUAAUGACGGUACCCGCAGAAUAAGCACCGGCUAACUACGUGCCAGCAGCCGCGGUAAUACGUAGGGUGCAAGCGUUAAUCGGAAUUACUGGGCGUAAAGCGUGCGCAGGCGGUUUUGUAAGACGGAUGUGAAAUCCCCGGGCUCAACCUGGGAACUGCAUUCGUGACUGCAAGGCUAGAGUGUGUCAGAGGGAGGUGGAAUUCCGCGUGUAGCAGUGAAAUGCGUAGAGAUGCGGAGGAACACCGAUGGCGAAGGCAGCCUCCUGGGAUAACACUGACGCUCAUGCACGAAAGCGUGGGGAGCAAACAGG